rnacentral:snRNA from 1 species
UAUUUUGUUUAACAAGAGG